CAUAAUCAUCAUUUUUAUAAUAUCAAUAUUAUAAUUCUGAUAUCUAUGAGGGCAUCAACGUAAAAAAAAUGCCACAGACCCGGCAGCAUCUCAGACCGUACAGGAGAUGGGACGAAGAAAAUGAGAACAUAAAGCUAUACGUUUUAUUACUACAAAAAGUGGUAAUUAACACACAUUGUUAUUCUACUGUCAGUAUUUUCAUUCAUGCUUUUAAGAACCUCGGCUCUGCUCUUCCUUUUGGAUCGGAACUGAAUAUAACAAGCGGAACAAUUUCACUCUCACAUCGGUUACAAUGGAAAUAUAUUUGUUUCGUUUUAUUUCAAAUGGUACUUCCCUUAGUAUUUUUUCAGUUCUGUUAAUAUUGUUGAAAUAUCGAUAGUUAUCUUACCAUUAUCUUGUAAGUAUUUAGGUAUUAUGGUAUUUAUUUCCCAUGCGCAUUCAUUCAUAGACCAGCUGAUUAUAUCGCCUCAUAAAAGGCACGUUGGCAACUACAUUUCGCUUCGGAUACAAACAGACAAGACUACUUGUUUGUUAUGGUACAUCAGCUGGUGAACUGUGGUUGGGACUUUUAAACUUAAAAGGCUAGAGACGAAAAAAAA